GUGAUUUUAUGAUGCUGAAGUUUGAGAACCAUGGAGGGCUAGGAAAAAGCCACCAGAUGGAGGAAAUUCACACAAAGUUUUGAGAGGCUAGUAACAGCGACUUUAAAAAGAGGAUGAUGAGGGCCGGCCUGGUGGCACAGGGGUUGAGUGCACCCGUUCCGCUUCGGCGGCCCAGGGUUGGCUGCUUCGGAUCCUGGGUACAAACACGGCACUGCUCAGCAAGCCAUGCUGCGGGAUCAAGUAUUACAGACAAGGUUGACUGGGCUGAGUGAGUCACCGUGAAUCCAGAUUCCCAGGCAACCUCCAAAUCAACAUACAGAUCAGGGCCAAGGCCCGAACCUAAAGGGUAAUAAGUUGGCAUUUUCCAAAGUCUGAAGUUCUGAGUAUUUUUCUAGACGCUGCCUCAGGGCUUCUGUGGCAGCAGCGCCACCCGGCCCCCGCCUCGCCCCGCCAGGCAGCGGUGUCAGCACUUUCAGAGGUUGUCUGCCGGGGACACUGACAGUAACCGUGUGGUCAGGAGUGCCCACCAUGAGCCAAGAACUUUUCUAUGCACUAGAGCGACAAGAGCAUUCACACUCCCCCCGCGGAGCUCACAGCCUGCAGAAGGAGCCAGCUGGGAAGCAGAAGACACAGCAUGGCGUCAUAAACCUAUGACAGAGCCUGUCCUGGUGGCACUGUGGGAAGCAUGACCCGGAUGCGGGGCAGGCAAAUGGCUCUCAGGGACGCUUCCCAAAGGCUUUGUGAUACAGAUGCUAUUAAGAUCUUCCUAUCGCAGACGGGAAAGUGAGGCACAGAGAGGUCACAUGGCUCCAAGUGACCAAGGCAGGCUCUGAACUCUGAGGUGCAUCUCUGAAGCCCUACGCUGCACUCCCUGUAUACAGCCAAGGUUUGGGGGAUUGAUAAAAUCUACUUUUUCUCUUUGCCCAAAUUUGGGACCAUUGAGAGAUGGACACAGAGACCAAGCUAAGAAAAUGUUAAUUUGAUUACUGAUAAAGCUGGACUGAAGGAUGGCUUGGGUUUCUAGGCAAGAAGUCUUGCGACCACUUCAUUUUUCAUGAGGUUGACUUACCCAGCCAGGCACUGCACUGCCCUGCGUCCGCAGGUCUCCUGGUGCGGCCAGGUCCUGUCCUAGAGGAGCAGGGCAGACAGCACUCCCAGACUUACCAGUCAGAUCAUUCUUCCUUUUCCCUGGAGGAGCAGUGGGUGUGAGUGAAGCAGGGUUUGGAGGCCAAGGACAUUUCCCUAAUGGAUGGGCUAUGCUGACAGUGGGCGUGUUCUCCCAACAUUCGGAUGCAUGCAUAAAGAUGGCUGUAAAACGAAUAAACGGAGGUAUGGGGGAACACAUGGAACGGGGCAACAAUCAAGUAAGAGGAAUGGUAAUGAUUCCGUGUUACAAUCCAAGAAUAGUAAUGUUUUUGGAGAAGACAGCUGAAUGAUGAUCAAUUUUUGAGAGACAAAAAAGAGCUUAAGUGAAGAGGUAGUCAAACCAGAUGCUUAAAUAAUUUUCUGAUGGUCGUCAUCAAGCACCAGUAGGAUGUCUGCCCAGAGUGGAGCGGCCAUGCGAGAACCCGACUGUGGAGAUCGUGCGAGUCACGUGUUACCCACUGUUUCUGACUCCAGCCUCGACUUCUCCCUCUCUUGGUGCACACGCCCAUUUGUGCAGACCAUCAUGUAAUAGCUGAUGAAAUGAAUGCCCAAAGGUGACACACCAGAGCAUUUUGGAGGCAGCGAAGAGCAGUGAAAAUUACCUCUUCCAACGCAAUACAGAGUGGGCUAUUUCUGAGGUGGCACCAAAGAAGUAAAAACUGAACCAUUUUAUUCUGAGAGAAAAGCACAGUAAGAUUCAACUUUGUGCCUCUAGAAACGUCUGGGGAAGACGCAGUCACUGGAAAGACACUCCUGACCAAACCGGCUUUCUCUGGCAAAUUGCUCGUCUUUCUAUCCCUUGGUUUCCUUUUGCGUAAAACACAGAUGUUACCUUUACACCUGCCUCAAGGACGUGCUAUGAGAAAGAGAAUGUCCUCACUGUGGAAUAAAAGUGGUUUUGG
ensembl:lncRNA